AGGGUUCGAUUCUGGCUCAGGACGAACGCUGGCGGCGUGCUUAACACAUGCAAGUCGAACGGACGGACUUUGAAGAAAUCUUCGGAUGGACUUAAAGCGAGUUAGUGGCGGACGGGUGAGUAACGCGUGGGUAACCUGCCCUUUUCAUGGGGACAACAGCUGGAAACGGCUGCUAAUACCGAGUAAGCUCCAAUGACCGCAUGGUAAUUGGAGGAAAGAUGGCCUCUGCACAUGCUAUCGGGAAAGGAUGGACCCGCGUCUGAUUAGAUAGUUGGUGAGGUAACGGCUCACCAAGUCGACGAUCAGUAGCCGGCCUGAGAGGGUGGCCGGCCACAUUGGGACUGAGACACGGCCCAG
rnacentral:rRNA from 1 species